GGGAGAACAACUGGAGACUAAUAAGCAGCAACCAUAGCAAUUAUGCCCUUGAUCAGGAUCCCUUUAAUCCACCAGCAGUUGUGUUGAAGACUGCAGCCACAUCAAUAAAUGCUACUGCCUCAUUAGAUUUCCAUUGGGACAUUGAUGACAAUGAAACUCAGCACCAAUACUAUUUCUAUCUACACUUCACAGAGCUUCAGCAUUUGGGUGCAGAUCAAACAAGAUCAUUCAAUAUCAACAUGGAUGGUAAGACUUGGAAUACAGCUGAAUCACUCAAAUACGGCAAAGUAUACACCAAACAUGUUAGAGGACUUUCCUCUGGAUGCAAAAAGUGUCACAUUUCACUUAUUCGGACAGAAUCUUCUACCCUUCCACCCAUUAUCAGUGCUCUUGAGAUUUAUUUAGCAAAAAAUUUUUCAUCACAGUCAGAAAUCGACAAAGACGACGCGGAUGCAGUCACAAACAUCAAGAAGGCUUAUAGGGUGGACAGUAGAAACUGGCAAGGAGAUCCAUGUCUUCCCAGAUGCAUACAAAUGGCAAGGUGUAGACUGUAGCACUAUUGAUGGCUUUCUAAGAAUCACAUCCUUGAAUUUGUCUUCAAGUGGACUCACCGGACAUAUACGGACUGAUAUCUCCAAGCUUACUAUGUUAAAGUC